GGCUGAGUGGUGGAAUGGCAGACACACAGGACUUAAAAUCCUGUGGGCGUAAAGCCCGUGCGGGUUCGACCCCCGCCUCAGCUA
rnacentral:tRNA from 1 species